CCCUUAGAUGUCCUGGGCUGCACGCGCGCUACACUGAUGUGUCCAGUAAGCACCUAACCUCUUCCGAAAGGAACGGGUAACCUUUGCAAAGCACAUCGUGCUGGGGAUAGAUUAUUGCAAUUAUUAGUCUUGAACGAGGAAUUCCUAGUAAGCACAAGUCAUCAGCUUGUGUUGAUUACGUCCCUGCCCUUUGUACACACCGCCCGUCGCUCCUACCGAUUGAAUGUUCCGGUGAGCUCUUCGGACUGCGCGGUCUGCAGUUUCUGCGUUCCGUGCGGAAAGUUGCGCAAACCUUAACAUUUAGAGGAAGGAGAAGUCGUAACA
rnacentral:rRNA from 1 species